rnacentral:lncRNA from 1 species
GUAUACAGAAUAUAAAAUGACACUUCGCUGCCUCUUUCAUGAUGAGACCAGUCCAGGGAUUGCUGGGGGCGGUCAGCAUCUCCAGGGCAUGGCCCAGCCAAUGAAGCCACCUGCGUACUGCCUUGCCCUCUGCUGCCUGAUUUCUCAGAAACCAGUAAGGGAGAUUGCUUUUGUUACCUUGUGGCCACCAGGUUCUCAGGCUGGACCUGGCUCUUGAGGUGCUUUGGAGGGUCUUCCAUGGCUGCUCAAGGGGUCCCAGGGCAGACAUGUGACCCCCC